CGAAUUUUUAUGUACAGUAUAUAUUACUAUAAAAAAGAAGACGCGUUCCAUCAUCGUGUAACACGUGACAUAAAUAUAAAUCACAGAAUUUCUGACAUCUCAAUUAACUAGAAUUUUCAUAUAUCAGUGAGUCAGUGACUGUUAUUUUCAUAUCUAUUUUAAAUCUCCAAACAUUAAGUUUACAUUGUGUUAUUAGUUUUGCAAUGUAUAUCCAUCGGGGUUUUUAAUGGAAAAUAGAAACCGAAGAACUUCACAAAAACAAUAGAAAUUCUAGGCUGGAUUUUUGCUUACUUGACCCAAAUAAAUAAAUAAAAAGCAAAAAAACAAAAAAAAUACCAUCGGCUGAUCAGACCUCAAUAAUUCAAUUAACCUAGGUGACCCACGUUAAUAAAUGAUGUAUGCGUAUAAAUCUGUAUAUGUUGCUACCACAUAAAGGAAUAAUAACAAGCAUGUGGGUGAAAUUAAAUCUCCCCGAUCCUGUCGUUUUCUGAUUUUAAUCGGUUCAUACGAAUCUAGCUUUACCACACACGCAUACAUUAAUAUAGCUAACUUAAUAAUAGAUUCGUAUCUCUGGUUUGUUGAAGAAUUGGUAUAUUAAUGUUUUUUUUUUCUUUUGAACUUUUUGAUAUAUUAAUGUUCACCAGAUAUAUACCACUACUUCCUAAUGAUCGCUCUAUUGAACCUAUAUUAACUAGUCAGAAUAACAGAAGUUUCUAUGUAUUUAGUAUGAAUCGUGAACAUGGAUUCAUUACGAUCGCUUGAGUAAUUGAAUCAAUAUUUUAAUCAGGAUAACAUAAGUUUGUAUGUAUCAGUAUUAAUUAUGAAGAUAGGCUUAGUGGAGAUCAUAAGCCAAUAUUACUCACUGCUCAUACGAAUGACUCACAUAAAGCUAUUUAAAUGAUUGUACGCUAUAAAGUUUUUUAACAUAUGGCCAAAUUGAAAAACUGUUAACGACAAAAAAAAAACUAAUCAACAUAUCACUUACGUGUUUUAGGCUAUUAACUAAGUAUCGUUUAAAUAAUCUUAAGAAUGGUGUUUCUAAAGAAAUUACAAUCGUACAUAUGAAUAAUAAAAAACGCUAGAAAAGAAGAAUUUUGACAAAAAAAAAAAAGAAACCUACUGUGUUGUAAAUUUGCAUGUAUAAAGUACGUAUUUUGCCGUCUACGACAUUAGUAUAUCAGUGACCAAACAGUAUAUCUUGAUAAAAUUUACAAACUAGCCGAUGAAGUACUCAUUGGUGCCUUUUCAAAAAAAAAAGUACUGAUUGGUGGACAAGUAUUUAUGUAACCAUAAGUGAUGUGUAGAUGUCUAGAUGACAUCAAUACAAUCAAACAGACAUCCCUUCUGCCUGGAGGAUGUUCAAGAACACAUUUAAUACUUUGAAAUGUA
rnacentral:lncRNA from 1 species